rnacentral:lncRNA from 1 species
CGGACUGAGAUUUCAGCUGAGAACCAGACUAGACUUCGGAUCAAGCUAGUUGCCUGCAGAACUUACCUGGACUGUGAUUUACCUGGACUGUGAGUUAAUCUAUUGAGACACUACUUUACCUGGACUGAGACAACAAACUGUAAUCUACAACAAAUUGUAACUCGGUAUCUUUGCUAACAGUGUCAUUGCUGGUAUAAUUUUUCCAAGGGCUUCUUGCAUGGAGCCAUCAAUUGGCUUGGUAUUGUGACAUUUUGUAUCCUCCCUUUCUGUUUGUAGCAGGUUAUUUAUGGUGUUUCUGUAAAAACCACUAUGGUUGUUAUUUAAAUUAAACAAAAGGGGGAAAUAUUAGAGUCUGUAAACAAGUCAAAAAUAACACCUGGCAUUUUGCCAGGGGAAUGUUAGAGUUCGUAAACAAGUCUGGAUGGUGCCUGGCAAAAUGCCAGAGGGAGUGGUUUGAGAAGUAACAAAAGCGAGCCAUUAAGUGUGGAGAUUCCUUAUUGGUUGACUGAUGUAUCUAGUUUAUGCUAAUUAGAUAAGCUGUGUGGAAUGUAUAAAUACUGCUCCUGUCC